CCCCACGUGACACAGGCUGACAGCUGCAAUGAUUUCCAUGCACAGACCCCAGGAAAAUGCACCUUUGAGUGCCAUGCCAGGUGAUUCUAAGCACAUUAAAAUCUGGAUGACACUUAUCUGAAUCAUUUCGCAACUUGGAGAGAGAUGGAGAAGACACGCAUGGUGUAACUGGGCAUCACCAGAAUGUGCACUGCCAUCUGUGGCUGUCUUCCUGCUGGCAAAUCCUUUUCAUUCCAAGCAAAUAAGAUUCCCUAAAUUAGACAAAAAGGAAGAAACACAACAGAGUCCAUAAUUCUGAGAGGAAGAGAAGAGUGAUCAUCAGCAGCAAAAGGCAAUUGCAGAGAAGCACCACCAAGAGCCAGCUUCAUGCUCAGGAGUGAAUGCUGAGCCGCCUCCUCGUGGUUUCCGGUGCUCCACAUGUUCAGAGAAACUUCUCUGCUCAAAUGUUGCCUUUUCCAAAACCACCCAUGG
rnacentral:lncRNA from 1 species